AUUGAACGCUGGCGGCAGGCCUAACACAUGCAAGUCGAACGGUAACAGGAAACAGCUUGCUGUUUCGCUGACGGGUGGCGGACGGGUGAGUAAUGUCUGGGAAACUGCCUGAUGGAGGGGGAUAACUACUGGAAACGGUAGCUAAUACCGCAUAACGUCGCAAGACCAAAGAGGGGGACCCUCGGGCCUCUUGCCAUCGGAUGUGCCCAGAUGGGAUUAGCUUGUUGGUGGGGUAACGGCUCACCAAGGCGACGAUCCCUAGCUGGUCUGAGAGGAUGACCAGCCACACUGGAACUGAGACACGGUCCAGACUCCUACGGGAGGCAGCAGUGGGGAAUAUUGCACAAUGGGCGCAAGCCUGAUGCAGCCAUGCCGCGUGUAUGAAGAAGGCCUUCGGGUUGUAAAGUACUUUCAGCGGGGAGGAAGGGAGUAAAGUUAAUACCUUUGCUCAUUGACGUUACCCGCAGAAGAAGCACCGGCUAACUCCGUG
rnacentral:rRNA from 1 species